UUAUUUUGAUAUUAUUUUUUAUUGUUGAAAAAAUUAAUAAUAAUUUAUUGUUAAUAAAAAUUAAAAUUUAUAAUAUUUUUAUUUUUAUUUUUUAGUUUUAAAUAAAAAUAAUAAAAUUUAUAUAUAUAAAAAUUUUGUUAUAAAUUAUAAUAGUUUAUUUGUUUAUUUUUUAUUAUAAAAAAUAGUAUUUUUUUUAUUUUUUUAUAAAAAAAAAUAAUUUAAUUAUAAUUAUUAGAAGUAAUUUUGUUAUUUAGAAUAAUAUAUUAAUAUAAAUAAAAAAAAUAUUAAAUAUUUUUUAAAUUUUUUGGGAAUUUAAAUUAUAAUUUUUUGUGUCUGCUCAGUGAAUUUAAAUAGCACUUUUAGCGUGAUUGGUCAAAGGUA
rnacentral:rRNA from 1 species